CAGCUGUCCUGUUAGAUGCUAUGGACACGAUUCUUAGUUUCACACACACACACACACUUUCUUGUCCUGGCAUGAGUUAGAUGCUCUGCACCACUAGUGGUUGUUCCUCCUUCCCUAAAGAGUCCUGGAUAUUGAUACAGUUCUGACAGCACAAGCCCCACUGAACAGCCCUAGUGAGCUUUUCGCCAGCUUUGUUAAAAAAUACUUUUGGUGUUUCUCUGAAUCAAGCCUUAACACCUCAGAAGUCCUCAAUAUCUACACAGUGAUUUAAUAACAAAUGACAACUCUGAGCUAUAUCUUCUGUUAUGAACACUUCUUAGAGACAAGUUUCUUCAACGGUUUGAAUUCCCUGAAGUCACAAGAUCUACAAGUGCGUGACUGAACUCAGGGAUUUGGGAGGGGCACUGAUGUACUUUAUGAUCUGUAAACACAGUUGGUUUACUGGCAUGAAGUUACGAACCAGGGAGAGCUAUUACCUGAUCUAAAUCAAAGGUACAUACCCUUUUAUGUUUGUCCUUAUGAGUUUCAAUCGUUUUGGUAUUGGUAGUACUAGGGGCUAUUGCAAAGAGUAUGAUUUAGUGAUACUCUACAGUUGUCUAAAUAGAGAAUAUGCAGCUAAAAUCUAGAACAAGCAUCAACGAGUGUGUUUGGAGAAACACACUGGGCACCAUCCCCACCUGUGGCUUCUUCAGGGGAAACGAGGAGGACAUUGUUAGGUGAAAAUUCACAUUAAAGUUCACCUCGGACUCUGGACUUGUGUAUAGAUCUCUUUAUUCAAUAUACAUAUCGGGCUCACUCACAUCUUACCAGACGAGAGAGAAGCAAAGUGAAACGCAUCACACAAGGAUAAAGGCUGAAGUUGGCGUGACUGACACCAACGCACUAUCUGGCAGUGAUAAGCACGGGGUGGUAUCCCAGGUCCAAGGUCAUAUUCGCCCUAAAAUGUACAGACACAACUUAUGCAACUAUGCUUUUUGCAAACGUUUUGGUUUACAAUGUUCC
rnacentral:lncRNA from 1 species